rnacentral:rRNA from 1 species
AUUGAACGCUGGCGGCAUGCCUUACACAUGCAAGUCGAACGGCAGCACGGGAGCUUGCUCCUGGUGGCGAGUGGCGAACGGGUGAGUAAUACAUCGGAACGUACCCUGAAGUGGGGGAUAACGUAGCGAAAGUUACGCUAAUACCGCAUAUUCUGUGAGCAGGAAAGAGGGGGAUCGCAAGACCUCUUGCUUUAGGAGCGGCCGAUGUCGGAUUAGCUAGUUGGUGAGGUAAAGGCUCACCAAGGCGACGAUCCGUAGCGGGUCUGAGAGAUGAUCCGCCACACUGGGACUGAGACACGGCCCAGACUCCUACGGGAGGCAGCAGUGGGGAAUUUUGGACAAUAGGGCGGCAAGACCUCGAUCCAGCCAUGCCGCGUGAGUGAAGAAAGGG